rnacentral:rRNA from 1 species
GUUUGAUCCUGGCUCAGAUUGAACGCUGGCGGCAUGCCUUACACAUGCAAGUCGAACGGCAGCACGGGAGCAAUCCUGGUGGCGAGUGGCGAACGGGUGAGUAAUAUAUCGGAACGUGCCCAGUUGUGGGGGAUAGCCCGGCGAAAGCCGGAUUAAUACCGCAUACGACCUGAGGGUGAAAGCGGGGAAUCGCAAGACCUCGCGCAAUUGGAGCGGCCGAUAUCAGAUUAGCUAGUUGGUGGGGUAAAAGCCUACCAAGGCGACGAUCUGUAGCUGGUCUGAGAGGACGACCAGCCACACUGGGACUGAGACACGGCCCAGACUCCUACGGGAGGCAGCAGUGGGGAAUUUUGGACAAUGGGCGCAAGCCUGAUCCAGCCAUGCCGCGUGCGGGAAGAAGGCCUUCGGGUUGUAAAACUCUUUCGACGGGGACGAUAAUGACGGUACCCGUAGAAGAAGCUCCGGCUAACUUCGUGCCAGCAGCCGCGGU